rnacentral:lncRNA from 1 species
NACAGUGAGAGCAAUUUUCCUAGCCUCUUUACCCAGGUGAUGCCAACUCGUCAACAUUCAUGCUACUGGGGAGGAUUUAUAAGGGAGGUCCUCGCACACACCCCUUCCGGCAAAGGGCACCAGCCCGUCUUUUAAAGGAACGGGGUAGGAUACUCUAUUGCCUCCGGUAUGGCGGGCGAUUUCCAGGGACUCCCCCUCUCUCCGAGUAAGGGGAGGGAGUUCACUCCAUACGCGAGUCCAGGCUCCAAGAGGAAGAUUUGGGGAAAGGUUUCGGUCACAGGUCAGUCACAAAGAAAGUUGGGAAAGGUGCGGUCCCCUCACACCCCUCCUCUGGCAGAGAGCACUGGCCCGCCUUCAAGAGCACUCUACUGUCCAGGAGUAUGUGGGCAGUUUCCUGGGGCCUCUUUGCUCUCUGAGCAAGGAGGGACGCCAUCGUCAUUUAGUGGCCAGAAAAGGAUGGGGAUCCCCUUACGACCCACAAUCACACAGCACACCUAAUUCGGGACUUCAUUAUGGCAUUCUGUCACACUGCCAGCCGAUUGCUGGCAGGAGCCCUGCCAACCCUCCUUGGCUGCUUCAGGAUUCCCUGUACCUUGCCCUACUUGUGCAAUGGGGGUCUCUGGUAUUCCCAGUCCCUUGCCCCACCCGCAGUAGGUUCCAGGGUGCCCUGUGCUUAGCCCCACUCACGGAGUGGGGUCUCCGGUAUUUCCAGUCCCUUGCCCCGCCCGCAGUGGGUUCCAGGGAGUGGAUUCCACCCCCUUACUCACUAUGGGGUCCACUUUCCCGGGGUUCCUCAGCAGCCUGUCCUUCACCUUCUGGGGGAACCGCUCCCCAAAGGGUGAGAGCCACAAAGCUGACUAACACAAGGUAGGAAUCUAUAAAAGCAAAGCAUAGGAGCUUGGCGUACUUCUUGUCCUCGUAGUUAGUAACGGUUUCCUUCAUGUUCUGGAGAGACCACGCAGUCUAUUUAGCCUCUGUUCCUGCCUGAAUAAUCUCCUGUCAUCCAAAACUUGUUUUUAUACUGGACUGGCACUCUAAACGUGUUUAACUGCCAGAUGGAUAUCCCAGUAAUUUCACCGAGGCUG